rnacentral:misc_RNA from 1 species
AACAAGGCGUACCUGCGGACCUGCGGAAGGAUCAUUACCGAGUGUGAACCCCCCCGUAAAAAAGAGGGGUUACCUCCCGUCCUUUGCUGGGAACCCCUUUCCAACUUGGAAGGAGGUUGUUUUCAGACCCUUCUACUUCGGUGGGGUAACCCACCGGAACAACCUCAAAAAUAUUCUCAAUUCAAAACCGUUCAGUCCGAGAACUUUUUUGAAAAGCGAAAAAACUUUUAACAACGGAUC